UUAAAUUGAAGAGUUUGAUCAUGGCUCAGAUUGAACGCUGGCGGCAGGCCUAACACAUGCAAGUCGAGCGGAAACGAGUUGUCUGAACCUUCGGGGAA
rnacentral:rRNA from 1 species